rnacentral:rRNA from 1 species
AGAUCGAACGCUGGCGGCAUGCCUAACACAUGCAAGUCGAACGGGAGUAGCAAUACUCUAGUGGCGGACGGGUGAGGAAUACGUAGGAAUUUGCCCUUAAGUGGGGGAUAACCCGGGGAAACCCGGAUUAAUACCGCAUGACCUCGAAAGAGCAAAGUGGGGGAUCGCAAGACCUCACGCUUUUGGAGAAGCCUACGUCGGAUUAGCUAGUUGGUGAGGUAAUGGCUCACCAAGGCGACGAUCCGUAACUGGUCUGAGAGGAUGAUCAGUCACACCGGAACUGAGACACGGUCCGACUCCGUACGGGAGGCAGCGAGUGGGGAAUAGUGGAACAAGUGGGCGCGAAGCCUGACUCCAGCAAUGCCGCGUGUGUGAAGACGGUCCGUUCGGGUUAGUAAACGUCUAACGUUUAAGGUUAGGUAAACGAAAAAACGUCG